rnacentral:lncRNA from 1 species
UGCUAAUUCUGCAGCAGCUACUGAUCGCUCGCACAACUUCCACCAUAUGGUUCAACCACAAGCAGGCUGGUUGAGUUUCUUCAAAUUACAAGGAAGAUUAUCCUUUAACAGAAGAAAACUAAUUAAAUUGGGGUUUGAUAUUUGAUUUGUAGGUUGCCGGUGCUGCAAUUUUGUUGGGAGGAUCCCAAAUAUGAGAUGUGGAGAAGUAUGAUGCCAAGAUGGCUGCUGCUUCAAAGCUUGAGAGUUGAGAUAUGAAAAAGCUAUUUAUAUACGGUACUGUUGUCAUCACCUCUAAAUAAUAAUGGUUACUUUUCAUCUCGUAUCAAUUCAUAUGUGUCAUUCCACAAGAACAUAUCAUCAUAGUGAUAUGUUUUAAACCAG